rnacentral:rRNA from 1 species
AUUGAACGCUGGCGGCAGGCCUAACACAUGCAAGUCGAGCGGAUGAAGGGAGCUUGCUCCUGGAUUCAGCGGCGGACGGGUGAGUAAUGCCUAGGAAUCUGCCUGGUAGUGGGGGAUAACGUCCGGAAACGGGCGCUAAUACCGCAUACGUCCUGAGGGAGAAAGUGGGGGAUCUUCGGACCUCACGCUAUCAGAUGAGCCUAGGUCGGAUUAGCUAGUUGGUGGGGUAAAGGCCUACCAAGGCGACGAUCCGUAACUGGUCUGAGAGGAUGAUCAGUCACACUGGAACUGAGAAACGGUCCAGACUCCUCCGGGAGGAAGCAGUGGGGAAUAUUGGACAAUGGGCGAAAGCCUGAUCCAGCCAUGCCGCGUGUGUGAAGAAGGUCUUCGGAUUGUAAAGCACUUUAAGUUGGGAGGAAGGGCAGUAAGUUAAUACCUUGCUGUUUUGACGUUACCAACAGAAUAAGCACCGGCUAACUUCGUG